UCAGAACUGAGAGGCACUCGAUCCGACCAACUGUGUUCGGGACUUCCUGUCUUUAUAUACACUAGCCACCUAGCUGCAGAGAAGAUGCGUUCCUCGCUUGUUUCUGCAUUGAUGGUGAUCUCCCUAUUCACAAGUAUAGAUCUGAAUCCCCAGAUGGUCGUUGAAGCAGCCAGUACAGGUCAGACUCCUUUGGGAGGUUGUUCUGGUCACAUCUGCAGUAUGUACUGCUACGUCUGGGAAAAUACAUGGAGAGGGAAAUGUGUGAGCGGCAAGUGUAAAUGCAAGACCUAGCAAAAGCAGAGAUGGGCGGAGGUAUCAGGGGUUAGGUCCCUUGCAGUCCAGAGUAGCGGCCCUUCCACCAUUCACAUCAUUGUCGUAGAUCCGUGAUCUGCACUACCAAAACCAUCCUCAAUAAACAUCUCGCAAGUGUACACUGCUUUUAAAUUGUAAUUAUUAUUACUUACUUCAAGAGUUGUACUACUAUUGCGUGGUGUUUCUAAGUGUAUUUUGUGACAUUCAGUUAUUUCAAGAGUUUCUUUUCGGCAUACCGUUUGCUAUGUAGAGCGUAAAUAAAUACUUUGCAACAGAAAUUAA